UCUAGGUGAAAAAAUAGAAAAAUCGACUCUGGGCCGUCAGAUGGAUCAUGCAUGGUACAGAUUGUACUGAGUGGAAUCUGUGCGCACAAUUGCCAUUCGAGUCCCCCGCUCCUAACUAUUUUCCUCCUGACACCCUUCUUCUUCGAGUCCCUCAGCGGCAGCGCAAGCCCCCUCCAACCCUAUCCCUCCGCCGCACCAGGCCGAUGCCGCCGCCCGCCGAUGAUGAUUGGCGAGCUCCUAGAGGAUCUACUCCUUACUUCCUUAGACAGUAGCCGCUGAUACAGCACGCCGCCCGCCCGACCGCGAACCCCCUUGCAACGGCGACGUAUCCAUGACCACGGUGAUCACUUUGGAGCUGUAGCCAUUUUUUUGCGACAAAGCUGUAGAAGAAAUUUAGAUGCCAAACCAGAUCAAGUUUGAGGUAAUGAGCAUCAUUCUGGUGUCAUGGGAAAAAAAUCGUUGUAUGUGCUGCUGAUUUUGUACCAUUGUUUCAGCAUAUUUUGGACGCAUCUUCUUUAUUACUGAAUACCUCUCUUUUGUGUGUCUUGAUUCUGAAGCAUAUGUAAGCCUGGUUACUCCGUACUUUGAUUCUGAAGCAUGUGUGAGGCUGCUGUAUUUUUGGAUAGUGGAUUUAUAGAGAUUGUGACUGUCACACAGGGAAGACAUUUGAUUUCCUGUGUUCUUUGGGUCCACAUUGUUCCUCGGGCGUUAUGCUUACGGAAAUAUAUGUUCUCACGCUGAUGUAUUCCUCCGAUGGUAGGCAUCAGAGUAGAGUAGGAACUAAAGUUUAAACUACAUAAUUUCUCCCUAACGUCUGGCCUAGAAGCAAUGAUCUCACUCCUGACUUUGUAACUUUCACGUCAAGAUCCAGUGAUGGAGGGGAGCAGUGCGACGUUGCCUUUAGUAAAGCUGAUAGUUCCAAUUAUCUCAGCAUGUGCACCAGCACUAUCAGCCAUGGAAUUUGUCAACAGUGCUCAAAAUCAACAUUAAUUCCUCAAUGCUUCUCAUUGAUGAUUCCAGUAUACCGAAAAAGAAACAAUCAUUCUCUCAAGAGGUACACACACUUUCAAAAUUUAUGUACUUUAGUUUCUUAUGUCUGUCAAUGUUAAAUUCCAUGACUUCAUUCAUGUUUCGUAGGAAAGUAUACACCCCUAUCAUGUGCCAUGUCCAUGCCAAACCAUUGGCCUUGCAAUUUGACUGACCUAUUUGUUAUCACUAGAGCAAGUAUGCAUGUUCAUGAUUUAGGAUUAAUUCUUCUUCCAUGACACAUGCCUUUCUCUUUUCCUGUUCACUUAUAUCUCUCAAGAUGUUGUAGUUUUCUUGUUAUUACAAGGUAUAAUAUAAUGCAUGUCAUCAGUAAUCUGCAUCAGUAGGAUAGUCAUAAAACCCCCUUUCUUGUUUGUCGUCGUUGCUACUUAUGAAGUUAUGCUUUUUAGAUAAUCGUUGAAACCUGUAAUCUGCUAACAGGGCCGUACCUCCUAAACACGGGGCCCAGUGCGAAGUCAAAAUUUAGACCCAUGUGUACAAAGCCUAUAACAUUUUUUAUUAAGAUAUAACCCUAGUAUAUUCAUGAAAUAAAGGUAAUCACUGGUACAGUUGUACAAUUUUCUUAGAGUUAGUCUUAGGCAGGCCAUAAGGAGAUCCAGUGAAUGUUUUUUAUUCUUGAGAAGGUGCAGGAGGCGGGAGUUGGGCCUGGAGUGGUUCUGUGGUUGAUUUGGAGUCUAGCAGCCAGCCGCUUAGUCCAUUUUUACUUUGAUGUCUACUGGUCCAUUAGUCUUUAAUUCCUAAAGCUGUACGUAGAAAAAAUGGGGGCCCUGUGCAGCUCCACAGGUUGCACAUGUGAAUGUACAGCCCUGUCUGCUGAUCUUAGCUCUAUACGUGGAUGUUCAGGCAGUCAUUCCAUGUGGAUCUGUAAGCCAUGUUAAAAUUUUGUCAAGGCACCAGAUCAAUUCUUUUGCAAGCUAGUGUGCUUGCAAAUAAUCUUGCAAGAUAUUUUUCAUACAAGAUGACCUAGUGGAGUAACCAAAUAAAAAGUAUCGAGUUCUUUUCAGUAAAAAGUACUAUAGUGAUGAUGUUAUGUUAAGUGUAGAAAAACAUACAUAUUUGUUAAUGCUUCACAAUGUCAGGAAUAGACAUUGUGAUGUGUCUAUUAUUAUACUUGGUACAUGGUUCACUGGUUAUAUUAGGAAGAGUCUCUGCUAAUAUUGUUCUUGUCAAACUCAUGACCAGUUUUGAGUGAUUAAAAUGACCAAUGGCUUUGAGGGUUCAACACACCAUUUUAUCGUACAAUAUGCUCUUUUCUUAUUUGUACAUACAAUAGGCUAUUUGAAAAUGCCAAGGUUUUAUAAAGGAUGGAUUUCUAAUAGCACAGUUAAAUAAUUGUAUUGCCUAAUUCUGCCGGUUGUGGCGAAUCUCUAGAAUGCACUAGAGUGGUUUUUCCUAUACAAGAUAAAUAAUGUUUAUAUAAUUUGUUCAUUAUUGGUAAGUUAGGAUUAUCCACAAAAUAGUUGGCUUGUCUGUGAAUUCCAGCAUAGAAACAUACUUUUGUAUUUGUGAUGAAUGCGAUUUCUUCUCCAUUUUUCCUUCAGUGUGGUAUAUAUGUGCAUGAAACACAGCCAGAUGCUGUUGUUAAUGCAUUUGAUCAGCUCAUGAUUAAAAAGUUUUAAGUAUGAAUGUACAACACAUACACGGACUUGCACUAACUGAAUCAUAUUUGCUCCGUCCCAUCUCUCACAAGACAAGAAGCUCGAUGAACAAGAAGCAUUGCAUCUAGAGGCAACUGUCGUGUGCCAUCAAGAUAUCAAUGUUGAUGCAAUUUUUAAUGGCAAUUCUUGUUGAGCAAUGAUUAUUAUACUCCUUCAGACUUAGCCUUGCCCGUUAUGUACCAAAGCUGAUGCAAUUUUCACUAGCAAGGCUUGUUGAUCCUGUCAUGUUAUUUAUAACUUGAUAUGAAUGUAUUUUGUUAUGUCUGGGAUGUUCCACUUUGACAUGUACUAAACAAAUUAGUAUUUGUGCCUGGAAUGGUCCAUUUUAACAUAAAGUGCCUGUGCCUAUGAGGGUGGCUUAAUUUUUGUCAUGUACUCGAAUAUCUUUGAAAAAUGUUGACAUACUCUUGAGUGACCGCCAUGUUCUAGUUUCUUGCAUAAUUAGUUUAU